UACGUAGGGUGCAAGCGUUAAUCGGAAUUACUGGGCGUAAAGCGCGCGUAGGCGGUCUGUCGCGUCGGCUGUGAAACCCGGAGCUCAACUCCGGGCCUGCAGUCGAUACGGGCAGACUAGAGGUAGGCAGGGGAGAGCGGAACUCCUGGUGUAGCGGUGGAAUGCGCAGAUAUCAGGAAGAACACCGGUGGCGAAGGCGGCUCUCUGGGCCUUACCUGACGCUGAGGAGCGAAAGCGUGGGUAGCGAACAGG
rnacentral:rRNA from 1 species